AGUCAUAAGAAAAUCGCGGUGAG
rnacentral:piRNA from 1 species